rnacentral:rRNA from 1 species
UCAGAUACCGCCCUAGUUCUGACCGUAAACGAUGCCAACUAGCGAUCCGCCAGUCGACUCAUCGCUCUGGUGGGGAGCUUCCCGGAAACGAAAGUCUUCCGGUUCCGGGGGAAGUAUGGCUGCAAAGCUGAAACUUAAAGGAAUUGACGGAAGGGCACUACCAGGAGUGGAGCCUGCGGCUUAAUUUGACUCAACACGGGGAAACUCACCCGGCCCGGACACCGUAAGGAUUGACAGAUUGAUAGCUUUUUCAUGAUUCGGUGGAUGGUGGUGCAUGGCCGUUCUUAGUUCGUGGAGCGAUUUGUCUGGUUUAUUCCGAUAACGAGCGAGACUCUGGCCUACUAAAUAGUUGACGCAUUGCCACUGUGCGCACAACUUCUUAGAGGGAUUUUCGGUGUUUUCAACCGCACGAAAUUGAGCAAUAACAGGUCUGUGAUGCCCUUAGAUGUCCGGGGCUGCACGCGCGCUACACUGGCAAACGCAACGUGCCUGUCCUGCCCCGAAAGGAGCGGGUAAACCCCUGAAAUUUUGCCGUGAUUGGGAUCGGACAUUGCAACUAUUGUCCGUGAACGAGGAAUUCCUUGUAGGGGCGAGUCAUCAACUCGUCCCGAAUACGUCCCUGCCCUUUGUA